rnacentral:rRNA from 1 species
CCUACGGGAGGCUGCAGUGGGGAAUAUUGGACAAUGGGGGCAACCCUGAUCCAGCCAUGCCGCGUGUGUGAAGAAGGCCCUCGGGUUGUAAAGCACUUUCAGUGAGGAAGAACGCCUGGUGGUUAAUACCCAUCAGGAAAGACAUCACUCACAGAAGAAGCACCGGCUAACUCCGUGCCAGCAGCCGCGGUAAUACGGAGGGUGCGAGCGUUAAUCGGAAUUACUGGGCGUAAAGCGCGCGUAGGUGGCUUGAUAAGCCGGUUGUGAAAGCCCCGGGCUCAACCUGGGAACGGCAUCCGGAACUGUCAAGCUAGAGUGCAGGAGAGGAAGGUAGAAUUCCCGGUGUAGCGGUGAAAUGCGUAGAGAUCGGGAGAAAUACCAGUGGCGAAGGCGGCCUUCUGGACUGACACUGACACUGAGGUGCGAAAGCGUGGGUAGCAAACAGGAUUAGAUACCCCAGUAGUC